rnacentral:sRNA from 1 species
UAGUAGGUGGAAGCUGUACGGGCAUGAAU